UUAGAACGAUGUAAAUAUAGAGAUACAUGUGUUUACGUUUAUAGAUUAUUGAAACUUAUACGAUAUAAUCUUUUAUUCGUUCAUAAAAAAUUAUAAUUUAUGAUUACGAUAAAAUUACCAACGGAAAGUAACUCAAAAGUAGAAAUACAGAUAUUUAAAGAUUUUAAAAAGAAGACACACGCAAGCAUACGGAUAUUACGAUAGUGUGAUGUAGACAUCUAAAAUGAAUAAUAAAGACGAGCUCUAUAGAUAUCUUGCUCGUCACGUAGUACGAAAAAUUCAUGGAUGUAUAUGGAGGCUGUGGUAAUUGGGCUCGAGCAAAUAAGCAAUUACUAUGUUUUGGCUUGGCAAAUAUUAUAAUAACGGGCUAGAGGGGUUAACCAGGUUAUCUGGAAUAUGAUCAUCGGUUCAGGCGUUUUAGAGAGCGCCAAAACCGGCACCAGCCUGCUGCUCACUUUUAUUUCCUUUUUUAAUAUAGUUGUUUACUCAAGGGAGCUUCGUUACUACCUCCAUCAAAACUAUGCAAAACUAUAUUCUUCGUUAAUUUAUAUGUUUUAUCUCGUAAUCAUAAAAUCACCGAGGAAAUUAGAAAUUUCGUUGUUUUUGUAUUAAAAUACAGAUAAAUUAAGAAUUUCCAUUAAUUAUUUUUAUUUCAUUUUAUGUAACAUCUUUUUCUUAUUUUUAAUUGUACAAUAUGCUAACAUCGUUUGGCAGGACAAAAAUAAAACAUCCUAUAUAUUAAUUUCGAAUAAAUCGGUAUUUUCGGAAAUGUACCGGAAGUUACGACCGAUGUGUUUAAUGCGACUUUAAUACCACUUCGGGUUUUCCGCCUAUUUUCAGUUUCCUGUCGGCGUUUUCGUUUUAUUUGCCUUGCGGUGCAAUUAGCGGUUUGCCGAUUUUCUUUUUGAUGGUUAAGCUUAUGCAUUGCCCUGUGUUUUCGGCAUUCUCUAAUGUUCCGUGAAAUUCUAUAUCGUUAAAUAAGUAUACACCUUAUUUCCUACUCGUUUUUCACAAUUUACUUUUUCAAUAAUACACGAUCUAUCCGUGAAACGUUGCGUUACACCACAUAAUAAGUAUAUAUUUUUAAGCACGAUAUCUUUGAAACCCGUGGAGGAAGGAACUUCGAACGGGUGCUCUUCCACCGAAACUCAAAGGACAUUCGCUCGAAUAAUUUUACUUCCUCCGUCGUAUGAAUUCGUACGAGUUCCCUCGAGCCUUGGUAUACACAAAACUAGGAAAAUGAAGUAUUGGAUCAUCCUGGCGAUUCCAUGUUUCUAACUUCUAUGGUUGACUUUGUGAUAAAUAGCCUGAACUUCGUUCUUGACAAAUGAGAUCGAUUUCACUGCCAACGAAAUAUAUUGUCCGUGAAUGUAAUACUUUUGAUAAGAGCGUAAACUUGCUGAAUACAACAGAGUACGAACAUACCGAUGGAUGGAUCAAAGCAUGUUUGUUUAUAACAAGAAAUUUUUAAUCGACAUAUAACGAUUUGGGUGAAAAAGAUUUCUCUCGCUGGCCAACUGGUCCCAGGUGUGUACACUGGGAGCGUGGCAGACGCGUGCUUCUCCCCUCUUUAACCUCAGCCGAACGCAGUUGCUUUUACAUGCUUCUUCAUUCUUCCUAUGUAUGUAUAUAUUAAUAUAUGUACUAUAAAAUAAUUUAAAAUAAAUAUCACACAGCCUGGGAAAUUUCAUCUAUAUUUCAAGAGGUUAUGAAAUCUUUGUAGAAGAAACAGAUCCUGAAAGUUAUCUGAGAUACGAAAACGUUUAUUUCACAGACAGAUAGAUGCAACGUGGAUGGAACAAAUCAAAUUAAAGUACGAAGGAAAAAUAGCGUAUACUUAGUAUCUAUUAAACACAGAUAAACAUAGAUCUUUACGAUCCAAGUCGCUUUAAGGUUAAAUAGAAACGCAUAAAUCAUGGAAGAGACAAAAAGUGAAGAAAUUUACACCUUCAUAAUGCAAAUUAAUAGCUCUUCCAAGCAUUGCUAUCGAAGAGAAUAAUGAGCCUUGUUUUAGACAAUUAAGAGAAGAAGAACGUAGAAACUGGCCACGUAAGAUUUGCAUUUGAGAAAGGUGGUAAUUAUUUGCAACGGAAUAACGCAAUUAUCAAAUUGACCCUCGCACCCUCACAUAAUUACUCGCGACUUCAGGAUUUAAGUGGAUAAUCAUUGGGAAUUGGCGAACUGUUCGUUGAACGUUGAAAUUUGGCAAGCGUCAGAAUGUGGGGCGCCUGGUCGUCAAUGCGUACCAUGUAAUUUAUGUUGAAUGUAUGUAUACAUCUCACGUGGAUACUGGCGGUAGAUUUUAACGCUGAAUUUCGAAUUUAUUUUGCGUGAAUUUUUCACGAUAAUCUGUUUCCGCAUAAAAAUUUCAACCUAUCGUAAUACGAUAAUCGUGUCGUGCUUCAAUUGCGAAAAGAACAAUCGUGUUCCUAGUUAAAUUUCUUUAUGUUAGUCAAAGAAUUAGAUUCGUUUAAUUUCCUUUAUAUUUAUACGGAAAUCUUCUAACGUGUGUAUUUUCUACAGGUAUCCCUUGCUUUCAAAUCUUUACGUAUAUUUUAAUUACACCUAUACGUAAUUUCAAGACACGUGUACAUUUUUCACUUUCAAGAUGUUAUUUAAUAUUAAUUGGUCGUUAUUAAAACAAAGUAUCAGAGAUUAAGGUUACCGAUGAGCGAAAAUUGACAGAGUUGGUGUAGUGGCAGCAACCUAACAGUAGGAGGAAAAUGAAAUUUUACUCUCAAUCAGAGAGCCACUCGAUCACACAGGAGGGUGCCAUAUUGUUACGUUCUAACCAUUCUCUCUUCUUCUUUAUUUCUUUUUUCUUCCAUAAUCUUUUCCUCUGGUUUGGAUCAACUGUUGUUUUACGAGGACUCUUUAGCCUCGGCAGACGGCCCAUUGUAUCGCUUAUUUCAAUGCGCGGAUUGUUUUCAAAAAGAAAGCACGAUUGUUUCAUCUUUUUCUUUUUUUUUUUUAGCUUCCUCCUCUUUGAUGUUCUGCUAUUUACCGAUAGUAGCGUAUCGAAUGUACGGCUAUUAAGAGUCUAUGAAAUUGUUAAUGAUAGUUUUAGAAAGGUAAUGCACGAAAUCCUAACUUUCAGCGAGAAUCGUAAGACACCUUGUUCUUUAACAUCUUGCGAGACAGUUGCGCGAUGGUCAUUUCUGAAAUUUUUUCAAUUUCUGCUGUUUGUCGUUUACGUUUCGAGAUAUUCUUCAACGAAACGAUGGUACAAAUCGUUUUUGCCUGUCGUAAUACGAAUCGCUGGAAUGGUUCGGGCCACCAUGAUUUCGAAGCUAUUUUCUACGUGGGUCGUUCGAGGCUUCUGGAAAUCAAUUUUUCCCCUCUGGCGCCAAUUAACCAGAAUUUUCUCAACUUCGACGUAGGUCCUUUGGCGCAUGGUAGUUUCAAACUUUAACUUUGGGUAAGUUAAUCGCUCCUUCCGUUUUUCUUUUUCCUCGCUUCAGUUCAGCCAAUAUAAUUUGUCGAAUUCAUUCUCAUGUCCACGUGAUCUAUUAUCGUAUCAAGGACGAAAAAACGCAUUAAAACAAUGCAUUUUCUCUUUGGUUAUUUCGUACUUGAAAUAUUUUUGAAAUAAAUGCUUCGUUUACUUUUAUUUUUCAUAUUAUCUUUUAUUUUCCAAAGUCUGCUUGAAUAGAUAUAGCAGAGUAAUGAUAUCAUAAAUCUUAAUGAAGCAAAGUUAUUAGUAGACACAUUCGUAGAAGCAUCGUGAAUUUAUCUGAAGUUUCUAAUUUGGCCUUCCAUUCAAUACGAUGGGAAGAAUAUAAUCGGCUUAUAUACAUUUAGUUGACUAAAUCCAGGAAAAUGUGCCUACUAUCUUUUUCUCCUUCUACCUAUUUAUCUCCUUUUGAACAAAUUGAUGCACAGUCGUCGCGACGAGACGAAAGUUGCACAAAAGCUUAAAUCACGAUAGACCGUGGAUACCGGCUAGUUAGGAGAGUUUUGAUGAAUCCUAAUCUUGUGAAAUAUAUGCGUGAAUAACGAGCCACGACGGCCAUGGUGCGUUUGAAUUAAAACAUAUUAUCCUUGUCUAUCCUACCGACUAAUAUCUACUAAAUGGCGACUAAUACCAAUCCUAUUCAUACGGAUGAUAUGCUUCAAUGUGACGUUUACUUUUAUAUACUAGAAUGUCAUAAUCUGACGCCAUCCACGCAGCUUCAUCAUCUUUUAACAUAUUUAGUAUCAGACAGUUAACGUUUAACAGAUCAGAGACUCGAGCGAAAUCUUUGUAAAACGGAAGAAUUCCUUUCUUUUUUCAAUUCGAUUAUUCCUUCCAUGCUCUGUUUAACGUUAACUAAUUAGAAUAUAAUUGGAAUAUUUAUAUAACUUGACUUAAUUUAAUUUAACUUAAUUUAUAUAACUUAAACGCGAUCGUAGUAUAUGAUACGGUAAAAGAUAAAAAAGCAAAAGUGUUGGUAGUUCGGUUUCAGUCGAAAGUCGUGGGAACCGUUUUGAUAGAAUAGGAGAACGGACGACGUAGGAAGGUAGGAGAAGGAAACGAAGAAUCUUGGUGGAAGAUACAAAAGGGAAAAGAGAAGAAAGGGAAGGAAGGUAAAGCCGAGCAAAGUUUGAACGAUGGGAUGAGAUCGUUGGUUCUGAUUCCAAGCAAAAAUUCGUGAUACAAUGCGAGCGUUUUCAUUCCAAAUAACGUAAAUUCAAUGUAUAUCCUGUUUUAUUUACGAACUUCGAUUAACGACAUAUCGUUGUAUUUAACUACUUGUUCUCUACAACCUGCUUACUCGCAACGUUAAAUAAAAUUAUAAUUACAAUAAAAUUACAGUUGUUUAUUCGGAGAAGCAUAGAAAUUUCAAAUAAUAAUCACAAAAUUGUACGAUUAUAACGUUAUAACAGAAUUCCUGUCCAACUUACUAAAUACUACGAUAUAAUUUUCGAUCGCGUCGAAUUAUAAAUAUUUUUCUAUCAACGUUCACUCUCUCUCUCUCUUUCACUUUCAUAGUUAUUUUCAUUACUCGUAGAUACAUCGCUUGUCCAGAUACUUUUACUUGUUGCAUUUUAAAUACAGGAAACCGCUUAUGCAACGAUCGCAAUGUUCAAGAAACGACGAAUACCGUGUACGUCUUUAGAUCUGUUGUGUUCUCGUCAUCAGCAAGACCUUUCGAUGCGCGAUAAUUGGAGUCCCGAGAGGAAAGUAUUCUUUCUCGUUCCUUGUCGGCUGUAGUUGUUCGUAGUAAUUUAGCAGGUAGCGGGACCGCACGUUUCUACGUGGCCAUGUUCACCCUCUGUCCUCGGCUCUCUCUUGGACGCCCUCCAACACCCUUUCUACCCAUUCCGCGUGUAUUUAAAAGCGUUUAAGGGUGCCCUCCAAUCUCAAGUGCUCUUCGCCGGAUACACAAUGGUUCUUGCGUAUUAUUUGUUGGUGAAAUAACAUGCUGUCAGUUAUGGGGGAUAUGCUAAAUAUAUAGGGUACGGCUAGAAAUUCGAAGGAGAAUCGAUCGAACUCGUCCUGGUGCUCGAGUGUUGUGCUUCGAGUCACGUUGAACCGGCGCGUUCACGUUUCAGAAGAUUUUUAUAUCGAACGAUUCUUUCAAGAGAAUCCGCAUCAACAUGGCUAUGGUUGCAUUUCGGGCACACGUAUUCAUGGAUCACAGAUUCGAACUUUUCUCUUCCUCUUCGUCUUUAUUCUUAAGUUGUCAAUUCGCAUCGUCGAGAAGAUACGGAAGAUUCUGUCGAUCUUCCGAUUUCUUUAUUUUCUUUCCCGGUAUUUAACGAUAAAAUGAAUUCGAAGUAGCAAGGUAAGAGUUUUUCUCUUGGUAAAAGGAAUUCGAUUUAUUUUUAUUUUAAUGACUAUACGUGUUCUUCUAUUUUAGCGAUUUGCAAUUUAUUCAUUUGUAUACUUUUGCUGCACAGGCUAUGAUAGAUACGUAUAUGGACGUCUAAACGGCUGAUCAAACGCCGAUCAAGAAUUUCGCAGUUAUAAAUUUACUCAUGCUCAAGGUUAAUCAGUCUUCCGAAAACAAACAGUUCCGCCUCUUCGUUAAUUCGUGCAUGCUCUCGAAACGAUAAUCAAAUAACGCCGAAUCGAUCGGACACAGGAUACACGUAAUUAAAGAGUAUGUAAUUAUGGACUUUAUCGAAGACGAGCGGUAUUAAGUUAUUAGUUAUUAAUUGCUUUAUUAGAUUAAGCGACCGAAGAUGCGUCGAGAGGCGGAGAAUCGGUGGUAUAAAUUCGCCGUAAUCGUUUCCUUCCUCCGCCUUUAAAUCGAUUAAUAGUACAAAUAGAAACAAUAAAUCAUAUUUUAGUAGAAUACCAAUUAAUUCCUAUAGAUUGAAAUAAACUUUACUAUAACAAAAAAAAAUAUAUAUAUAUAUGUAUAUAUAAUAAUAAUUUAAGUUUACAACUAAUAAGCUCAACUAAAUAAUUUUUAUUUUGAGAAUUUUUACGACGAGUUUAGUUUUGUAAAAUAUUAAUUCAGUAAAAAAUCCGCAUAACUAAGUUCACUCGAGCAAGCUUUUGAAUUACGAAUGACUUAAUCUUUAAUACUUUAACUGACAGCCAAAAUAUACGCAGUUAGUUACUAUUACCAACCUUUUUCUUGUUUUAUACAAUUUCCGUACGCAAUAAGAGGGAACCGUAUCUUGUUAAAGUCCAAUCCAGUUAACAUUACGGCCUGGUCUGCUAUCAUCAGAUUACAAUGUAAAGAUACUAAAGGUGGUAAAACGCUGACAGGGUCACGAAACGUGUAUUGUGAAUUCCUUUAGAGUCGUAACGAGUUGCAAGCGUGGGCGGACGUAAGUGCGAGACACGUUUCACCUUCUACUCUGACGGGAUAAUUUUCUCUUCUGGCUUAUCCCUUCUUCACCGUCCAUAUCAUUCGUUCAUCCUUCCAGAGGCAUCGUAUAAAAGUAGGUAGUCUGAUUGCCUAAACCGACGUUUUAUUUUUACUACAACUCCGAUUCGUUUCUCUCGGCGAUAAUAACGAUCGAACGCCGAUUAUGUGCGUGAACAAUUAUUGAUCGCGUUUCUGUCUAUCGGCCAGCGUCAAAUUGUAUCGAAUCUUUCACAGAAUUCUUCCGUUUCCUUUCAAUAUCUUCGAAACGUGCAUUUAUUUUAGAAAUCAUAAAUGUAAGUAAGAUCGUCGAAUAAACGUUACGUCUCUGUUGUUACCAACACGAAAAUGUUAUUUGAUUUGUGGCCGAGAAAGAGUCGUUCGUCUGUAAUAAGCGUACCGCCUCUUCCUCAAUAUAUUUGUCUUGAUGGCUCAAUGCGCACGUGACCGCUCGAGAGCGGCAUGACUUUACAAUACGACCCUCGAAACGGUUAUAGCUGUACCAGCGAUGAGAACGUAAAAGGCUGUAAAAACAUUCUGGUAACCGGUAGAAUAAUUCGAAAAGCAGAAUGAACGACGAUCGCGUACAAUUAAACGUCCCGUUUUACUUCGUUACACGCCUCUUGUCCGCCAACGUUGGCUUUCAGGCGCAACAAGUAAACGCGUUCGAUGUAGACAAAAUUCAGGAAACAACUCUCAGUUCUGUACUUUUGUUUCAUUUUAUAGGAAAAAGAAGUUGCGAAAGGGCGACUAUUUUUUUUCUUUCUUCUCUCCUAUGAUUUCACUUUUCUUUUCCUUUUUUUCUUUUCUUUUCCUUCGAUAAAAAGCGCAUAACUGGUAUCAGAUGCUUGCGGGACGCUUGCGAGGCGUGUAAUUCUUUCGUGUUACACGCAGACGAUUUCACCGCAGUCAUCCGCUCCUCGUCCGUGUGUCGUUUUAGUAAGUAGCGGUAAGCUUGUCGGUCCGAGAUGGUCCGAAGAUAGGAUCAAAAGAGGUGAGAGGACCACCCGGUCUAUUUAGAAUAUGAAGAACCAUGACAUUGGUGUCAGAUGUCUCAUCGAGAAUGUUGACACCUGUAAGCGCUGUUGGAACAUUGGAAUCAGUGGCAGGUUGUGCGUUAAUUUUAACGCACCAUGGUAAUAGCAGCUGGAACACGACUGUCGAUAGAAUACGUUCGAUAUUUACCACUUUCCACAUUUACGAUUUUUCCACUUUUUCGUUCAAUCGCGUAAGAAUUAUAUUUUACGACAAUUUUUAUCUUAUGAAUUUAUUACAAUUAUUUACAAUUGAACAAAAAAAUAACGGAGCCAGAAAUUCUUAGUGGUUCAAAAAGUGGUUCUAGAUACAGAUAAGACAUCGUUAAAAAUUAGUGGAAAUCGUUAUCGUCUCCAGAAAUUAAUCAGUGAGAAAGAUCGUUCGAAAUGGUGUUACAAAUAAAUCGCCCUAUUAGAAUCGCGUGGAACUUCGUACGAAGACGAUAACAAUCGCUACGAGCUUUCGAGGCUAUGCUUUCCGUGAAUAAAGCAGAAACUUACUAAUGAAGAAGGAGCAAAAGUACAACUAAGGCGAAGCUUAGUAAAUCUUAUCGCGAACCGUCAUCCUCUCAUUGACUAUGCAUUCCCAGAGGAAAGCCGUGAAUUUUGCCUCGAUUCGGUUCUGAUGCCGUUGACAAUCUGAUCGUACCUAUUCCCACGAGAAAAACAGAGAUAAAAGUAGAAAAAAUGGAAGAAAAAAGAACGCGCGUAGUGCGGUAGAAGAAAAAGGAAAGGUAGAAGCUUGUAAUCGUUUGCCGAUCUUCGCAGUGUUGUCUCAGAAAUGCUCUUCGCACCUAUUUUAACGCGCAUGUAUUAUCGAGAGAUUGGAUCAGCAGGUUACCGAAUAUCGAACGAAUCAAAUUACGAAUCGAUAUGAUAAACACCAGAUACAUUUGCCCGAUACAUUUUUCAUCUAAAUCCGUUCUAAUAAAUUUGACGAAUGUUUAAAAAGAACUUUUGUUCGAUCGAAAGAUCCAUACCGCGCAGCGCACUUGUUCAAAGUCUUACGGAUAUUUGUUUCCGGUAUAUAAAUUAUAAUACUAAAUCGAUAUAAGGUUCUCGAUACAUCGAAAUCGAAUCGAACCGCUUUUGAUCUUCGAAUUAACGUGGUGGACGGACGAAUGAUAGCGUGAUUUGGCAUAAUCACGAGCAUUAGUAGUGAAAAUAUAGUUGCACCUAUUACGAGGAUUUGCAGGUAAAGGGUAGUGAGAAGGUGGGCCAACAGGGCAGGGUGAAUAAGGCGCUCGAGCCUACGCGGGUCGCUUUUUCGAGGGAGGACGAGCCAUAUGGGGAGCAUACGGUAAGCAGGCUGCUGCACCCGCUGCCUCGAGGGUUUAAUCUACCUACCGUCCGCCAAAUUACCAUCCGAGGAAAUCGUGUAUCCUCGAAAGAUCGCUGUGACGACGUUUCCGUUAUUACUGACUUUACUGCAUAAGAAUGGGUAUCACGAGGCCCAUUAGUUUAGCAAAAGAACACUCGACUUUAUUUCUACUUAUCAAUACGCUAUAUGUCCAUCGAUGGAUUUAAAAUUUGUUUACAGGCGAAAUAAAGUCCGAUCCGUUCUUGUAAAAUACGGCAAAAGAUAAGAAAUACCGUGUUCCGUCGUCGUUGUUGUCUUUAUAUUAUGGUUCUGUGUAAAGACUUGACUUUUUUAAUUCGAUUCUUUCGGUUUUCGUCGAAGAAAAGCAGACACUGUCUAGUAGACAUUCCCGGGUUUUGUCUCUCGCUUGCCAACUGUCCCAGGUGUACGUGUCUGAGGAUGAAGGCAAAAGGCCCAAGAAGACUCGAGGCGUGUGGCUGGCGCGUGCUGCUAGUCCCCGAUUCCGUUUCCCCGCCCUUAAGUUGCUUCCGAUCGUUGUCUGCCAUAAUCAGCAUCACCACUGCCGCCGCCACCACCACCUCAACAGCUACGGUCACGCUUUUUAAAUACGCGAAGCGAGCUUUCAUGCCUUCGUACCCUCGGAAAUCGUAUCAUAUUUCCUCCCUUCUUUUCUUAUUUCGUUCUUAUUUUCUUCGUUCUCCAAGCCUUAUUAUUCGUCAUAAUCACAAUUGCCCGUUUAUUUCGUUCGUAAAAUCUAUUAAACAAUUUUUUUUGGUUUUAUAUCAAAGAUGUUUCGAUCGAAUGCUUACGUUCUACACGUCGAUAUUCGUUGACAUAUUUCUUGGAAUAUUAGUUUGAUAGAUUUUAUGGGAAAAGUGAAUGGAAUAAACCGAUGGUAAGGGAAAUAGAAUCGUCGUUGAUCGCUUUGACGAAACUGUUUAUAUAUAACAGAAGUGGAAAUUUGUGUUAUUCGUGCUCGAACAUUAUUAUGGAAAUUUGAAAUGUAAGUUGUUUGUUCCUUUCGGCGGUAAAUUUGCAUAAACACGGUGAUUUUCGAACCAACCAGAAGAUGAUAUAACGCUAAUUUGCAACUUUUAACUAUUCACUUUUCACCGUCACGAAUAUUUUUCUCUUCUAAGCUAUUCUAACCGAAAUACCUUGUUUAACGUAAAAUUCGUUAUCGUCGCGAAUUAAUUAAAAAUAUCCCGAUACACGUAACUAUCGUAGUAACGUCUAUCGAUAUAAUAAUAUUCGUAUGGAAAGGUAAAGCCUUUUGUCAAUUUUCACAAACAGACCUGCCAUUGUGAAGCGUUGUUAGGUAAAAUGGAUUUCUUAAAAUAUUGUGGGAAAAAAGAAAAUAGGAGGAAUAGACGGCGAAGAAAAGAGAAGAAAGGUACACGUUUUAAGUACUAAUUUGUAACAUUCUGAAAGUUUGCAAGAAUGAAUUGUAUGGCACGCGAGGCUAUACGCCAACGUUUUUUUCCAUCUGACACGGUAGAUUAUUGGCAAGAGCGGCUUCUUUGAUAAUUCCUAAGGCGCGUUAGCAUUUCUAUGGCGUUGAAUUGCUUUGGUCCGUUUUACUGAAGCGCCAAAAAUCGUUGGUAUCGCGUCACCAUUGUGUUACGUUUGUUGGACACGUUGGCCUGUUUAACCAUUUAUCUCGUCAUUGACGUUAAUCAGAGCGAUUUCGGCUUCGGCAGAGAUCUUCUGCAAGGAUCCAUAUAAUUUGGUUUGUCACGCUUAUACGUAAUAUGAUCGAUGCACGUGUACAUGCGAACAGAGUAUCCUAUAUUCCUAUUUAUCGAUACAAAUAUACCAAGAAAUUAUUCCAAUUAAUUUCCUAAUAAUCUGUUCGAUAACGAAUUUAUCCUAGUCACUCGCUUUUCUUCUUUUCUUCGUCGACGUUUCCCAAAUUUUUAAUACGUUUUUAAUCGCCGAUUCUUCCUUGCUACUUAAUCUUCUACUAAAAACCGUGACUGCCCUUCGGUAUAAUUAUUAAGUAUUCUCCAAAACCUGGAAACCAGGUUACCCAUCGCAACGAUUUUAAUCUAAAAACGAGGGUUUUAUGGGCUCAGAUGAAGCUGGGCAUAGAUAUAUGCUACGGAAAUAGAUACCAUGAAAUCCCAUAGGAUCCAAAUAGCGUUCCCUUUGCGUUUUACCUACGUUUAGGGUUAAAAUCCGUUUUUAGGGAAGGAAAUUUGACAAACAGUCGAAGGGGCGGUAACGUGAAAAUAUAUUUUUCUAUAAACUUUUGUUUCUUUCGAAUGGUCCGAUCUGGUUCACCCGCGCGAUAGUGGGCAUUCUAUGUAAUUCUAUAGUAAUAUGCUGAUAUUGUUUAGAGUAAUUUUCUUAAUAUAUUAUUCCGAUCGUAUCGAUAGAAUAUAUUUUAAUAAUGUUAUUGAAAUCUAUGUAAAUUUCAGUCUAUCAUAAUUUUAUAAUUUUCAUACUGGACAAAAUUAUAUAUAAUAAAAGAUUAAGUAAUUAAAAUUGAUCGUAACACACUUUACUGCUAUUAUGCGAAUCUAACGUAACAUAAAUGCGAUAAUCUUAGGUAAUAAACGGUGCAUUCCAUUCAUCUCGUAUCGAAUCUUUGAAAACUACUGUAAAGUAAUGUUUUUAUAUUCAGGACCACACAGGUAGCCGAGGCAUAUUAACUUCUGCAUGCAGAUUCUACCAACAAUCAAUGGUAACGCUAUAUUCAAUUUUUAUACUGAAUAUUAAGCAGCAUCGUAUCAUGUUACCGGUAACUGCUUCAAUCCUUAUCCGAAUUUUAUAUUCUCACGAUCAAAGUUGGCAAAGACAAUUACGAUGUUCUCAAUCAUAUUUAUCAAUUUGAAAUUAUCGACCAUAUUCGAAAUUACAAUGUCGAUUUCUAUGUAUUACUAUAUCGUUUAAACAAAUAGACACAAGGUUCUCGUUUAUACGUAAUAUGUAUAGUCUUUGCUCCACUACUCUGUAUUUUCUUUUUCUUUCUUCUUCUUUUUUUUUCGCUCAGAGAUUCAACGGAGAUCAGGUAUCCGGCGCGUAGAAAAAUUUUAACGCGUUUACGACUGACCGUCACGGCGGAAAAUCCUUUGAAACAUCGACUGUCGUAAUUACGAGCGACUUAUAACAGUAUGGUAACCCCUUCAUUUGUGAACUAUGAUAAACUGUUGCUCAUCUACGGUUCCGAGAUUUGCCUCCAUGAUUUAUGCUAAUACAAUGGACCUACCUCAAAGUAUCUUCUACUAAACGCUCUAUUAGGCUUAAGUUAAUUACGAGACUACCUUCUUGUGGGUUGGCUCGAUGCGAUCGUUACCAUAUUACGAUACAUAUAUUACGCCCUUAACGAUGCCAACCGCUUUUGCAUUAAAUUUGGACAAGCGACGAUCACAAAAAGCAUAGAAGUUUUUUUCUUUGUUACUGUCAACGCGUUUAUAUCUGUUGAGGUUGACUGAUAGAGGAAGUGGAUGAAUUUGUAAUAGACAAAUAUAUUGAAAUAAGUAUAGCUAUAAGUACAGGUAUAGCGUACGCUGAUACUGAUCCUCGCCUUUUCAGCGUUACAAUACAAUAGAACUUGUAAUGGAAAAAUAUAUUGAAAUAAGUAUAGGUAUAAGUACAGGUAUAGAGUACACCGAUCCUGAUCCUCACCUUUUCAGUGUUGCAAUACAAUAGAAUUAUGAUAGGGAGCACGUUGAUAUAUUUAUAGCCUAGGACAUCAGCAAGAAGUUAAUCUUGGUGUGUACCUCUAGCUGAAGGCUACAAGAGACAACAAUAGAAAUCUACUUAUAGCUCCUUUUGUUUCUAGACCUUGUAACCCAAAACAAAAUUUAUAUUCAAGGGCACAAUAAUAUGGACCUCUCCUUACUUUCAAUGUUUUCACUAAAUCCUAUUCUCUUCGUAACAGCGAUCUCCAGAUUACGGGUAUACAAAAGAAAAGGUUUAAGGGUUUUCUUCAAGUAAUUACUACAACAAUAUCAUUCAAGGGAUAACGGCAAAAAGUAUCGCUAUUUUUCUAUCACAAUAUUUAAAAUAUUGCCUUCUAAAAUAUUAUUUACGAGAUGAGUUAUAGAUUACCAUAGAAGUAGCUAAAGUUAAGAUAUGUAAAUUUAAUACGUAGAACAUUUUGACCACCAACGAAUCUAUUGUUGUCUUGCGACCACGAUUAUGGACAAUAACUUCAUUUUCUUCUGGCUCCAGGUUCUGUUACUUGUCGGCGUUUGAACAUACCGACACGCCGCCUAGUUAUUUGAGCACCCUCCGAUAUACCAUUUCCAGAGCGUAAUCGCUAAUCACUCGUCAGAUUUCAAAGAAAGGGACAAAGUCACAAAUAAAGACUAGUUUCGAACGUUACUUCGGUUUUGGGAUGCGCCGCUUCGACCACCGAAGCUCUAUAUAACUACGCUUGUUGGCUGAUUUUACGGUUUCUACGAAACUACGUUCCCUCUCCAAGGAAAUCGCAAUUUUCGUCCUUUAACAAAAUUUAGAACGUUCUUAUGCAAGCGUUACUUAAUACCAUAUGCUCAAUAUACGCGUUUAGAUACACGCGCGCUACCGAUGACAAAUUUUCAAGCGCUAACGUUAUCAAGACAUCCACCAUUUGCCAUUAGCGCCGAUGUUUCUUUCAAGAAUCAAAGUUUCGUCCUUUAACAAUCGUAAUAUUUCUAAAUCUUCCGUCAUGGUGUAAUUUCAAAACGGAGUAUCUGCGAAAAGAACGAGAGGCGAUCGAUAGCAACCUCGAAGAGAGGAAUGUGAAUUUUCGGAUGAAAAGUUUUCCAAAUUAUCGCGUAAAUUAUCGAAUAUUACCCACGGACGCGCGUGAACAUUGUUAAAUAUCUGACAGAAUUUGUAAAAAUUGUAAAAGCCAGAUCUUCGAAGUUUACCGUUUCUUAGAUGAAACAGGAGGAUGCGGUUUUCAUCUCGCCUUUCAAGGAGUAAGCCGGGCGGUUCAUAAUAGUCGAUGAUGCUUAAACACGAAUAGCGGCGGGACGACGUCGGGCCAGCCUGGAAGGACAAAAUGAGGAAUUCGAAAGCGGAACCGGAUAAUGUGGAAACGGUUAUUGCGAUUCAAGGAUAUGAAAAAUAUACCAAUUAUGGAUUCUGUUUUUUUAACAAUUCUAUUUUCAUGCGGUAGCGCCUGUUGACUAUCUUUAAUCGUAGAAAAAUGGAUCGAUCGAUGUUAUCACGACGACUUUGUUUUCUACAUUCCUAACUCUGCUCGUAAUACGAUAGAUAAGAUUUCAACAUAAACUUGAGACCUAUUGGGAAAUUGACAUUGUUACAGCAAGAUAAAAUAAUCGUUACGAUGAUGUAAUAGAAUACAAUAACAGGGCGAUAAGCGAAUGAAAUAAAUGUUAAAAAUUAUAGAUAAGUGUGUCUAUGUAAUGAAUUUAUUAAUAUC